rnacentral:rRNA from 1 species
GGAAUUUUCCGCAAUGGGCGAAAGUCUGACGGAGCGACGCUGCGUGAAGGAUGACGGCCUGCGGGUUGUAAACUUCUUUUCUCGAAGAAGAAGCUCUGACGGUAUUCGAGGAAUAAGCAUCGGCUAACUCCGUGCCAGCAGCCGCGGUAGUACGGAGGAUGCAAGUGUUAUUCGGAAUGAUUGGGCGUAAAGCGUCUGUAGGCUGUAUAGAAAGUCUUUUGUUAAAUGCCUCGGCUCAACCGAGAUCCAGCAAAGGAAACUUCUAUACUUGAGGGAAGUAGAGGUACAGGGAAUUCCCGGUGGAGCGGUGAAAUGCGUAGAUAUCGGGAGGAACACCAAUAUGGCGAAGGCACUGUACUGGGCUUUACCUGACGCUCAGAGACGAAAGCUAAAGGAGUGAUUAGGAUUAGAUACCCCAGUAGUC